rnacentral:rRNA from 1 species
AAAAACAUGGCCUUUUGUUAAUAAUUUAAGGUUUAACCUGCUCAAUGAAUUUUAAAUGGCCGCAGUAUCCUAACUGUGCAAAGGUAGCAUAAUCAUUAGUUUCUUAAUUAGAAGCUGGAAUGAAAGGUUGAAUGAAAAAAUAACUGUCUCUAUAAAAAUUUUACAGAAAUUUAUUUUUAAGUUAAAAAGCUUAAAUUUUAAUAAAAGACAAGAAGACCCUAUAGAGUUUAAUAUUUGUGUAUAAUUUUUUUUUUUAGUAUUUUAAAAUUCAUUUUAUUAUAAUAUUUGGUUGGGGUGAUUAGAAAAUUGGAUAAACUUUUCUUUUAUAGAAACAUUUAUGUAUGAAAAAAUGAUCCUUUUUAAAGAUUAUAAGAUAAAAUUACCUUAGGGAUAACAGCGUAAUUUUUUUUGAAAGUUCUUAUCGAAAAAAAAGAUUGCGACCUCGAUGUUGGAUUAAAAUAAAUUUUUGGUGUAAAAGCUAAAUUUGAUUAGGUCUGUUCGACCUUUAAAAUUUUACUUGAUCUGAGUU